GAGACCCCAAAAACCAGGAGUAGAAGGAUCGGUGAUAGAGAGGAAAAAAGAAGCACAGCAGAAGCAACAGCAGGAUGAAACGAAGGUUGCGGAAGAGAAAGGCUCGCUAGAGACAGAAAGGGUGUCCAACGCACACACUUCCUCUGAUUGCUCAUCGUUCUCUUUUCAAUCUUUUUCGUGGCUGUUGGGCUGGGCGCCUUUCUU
ensembl:ncRNA C04C11.19 ncRNA